CCGCUGCUUAACACAAGUAAAGUCGCUCUCACCCCCCCACCCCCCCUCUGCAGACUCUAAUGUAGUAACCGCUGCUUCCUGUUGGACCGGUUGCCAUGCCAACACCAUGGAUAAUGCAAGUACAUUGCUGACCGGAGGAGCGGGCGGCUCCAACCCCAGAUGUGUGAUGUGGAAAGUAUGACACAGAGGGAUGUCAUUGGAAACAGGAAAUGCAGCUGACCGGAAGUGCGGGCAGCACCGGCUCCGGGAACGGCGGCGUGUGAGAGGGAGGAUUCACUUCAUGGGGGUAUUUAGCAGGUUUCUUGUCGGGUUCUCAGGAUAAAGUAUCUGGCAGUUUAAAAAAACAUCAGGAUUGCAAUUUGCGAAAAGUCAGGUUUGGACAUACUGUAGGAAUCUCACAGCUAUUUUCUGGAUAAGUCUGCACAUUUGCAAAUUGCCUACAAUCACGCCAUUAAACAUUGAUAUACCCAAA